GGGUUGUGAGGUUAAGCGACUAAGCGUACACGGUGGAUGCCCUGGCAGUCAGAGGCGAUGAAGGACGUGCUAAUCUGCGAAAAGCGUCGGUAAGGUGAUAUGAACCGUUAUAGCCGGCGAUGUCCGAAUGGGGAAACCCAGUGCAAUUCGUUGCACUAUCGUUAACUGAAUACAUAGGUUAACGAGGCGAACCGGGGGAACUGAAACAUCUAAGUACCCCGAGGAAAAGAAAUCAACCGAGAUUCCCCCAGUAGCGGCGAGCGAACGGGGAGCAGCCCGGAGUCUGAAUCAGCUUGUGUGUUAGUGGAAGCGUCUGGAAAGUCGCAGGGUACAGGGUGAUACUCCCGUACACUAAAACACACAGGUUGUGAACUCGAAGAGUAGGGCGGGACACGUGGUAUCCUGUCUGAAUAUGGGGGGACCAUCCUCCAAGGCUAAAUACUCCUGACUGACCGAUAGUGAACCAGUACCGUGAGGGAAAGGCGAAAAGAACCCCGGCGAGGGGAGUGAAAAAGAACCUGAAACCGUGUACGUACAAGCAGUAGGAGCCCACUUGUUGGGUGACUGCGUACCUUUUGUAUAAUGGGUCAGCGACUUAUAUUCUGUAGCAAGGUUAACCGUAUAGGGGAGCCGCAGGGAAACCGAGUCUUAACUGGGCGUUAAGUUGCAGGGUAUAGACCCGAAACCCGGUGAUCUAGCCAUGGGCAGGUUGAAGGUUGGGUAACACUAACUGGAGGACCGAACCGACUAAUGUUGAAAAAUUAGCGGAUGACUUGUGGCUGGGGGUGAAAGGCCAAUCAAACCGGGAGAUAGCUGGUUCUCCCCGAAAGCUAUUUAGGUAGCGCCUCGUGAAUUCAUCUUCGGGGGUAGAGCACUGUUUCGGCUAGGGGGUCAUCCCGACUUACCAACCCGAUGCAAACUACGAAUACCGAAGAAUGUUAUCACGGGAGACACACGGCGGGUGCUAACGUCCGUCGUGAAGAGGGAAACAACCCAGACCGCCAGCUAAGGUCCCAAAGUCAUGGUUAAGUGGGAAACGAUGUGGGAAGGCCCAGACAGCCAGGAUGUUGGCUUAGAAGCAGCCAUCAUUUAAAGAAAGCGUAAUAGCUCACUGGUCGAGUCGGCCUGCGCGGAAGAUGUAACGGGGCUAAACCAUGCACCGAAGCUGCGGCAGCGACACUAUGUGUUGUUGGGUAGGGGAGCGUUCUGUAAGCCGUUGAAGGUGGCCUGUGAGGGUUGCUGGAGGUAUCAGAAGUGCGAAUGCUGACAUAAGUAACGAUAAUGCGGGUGAAAAACCCGCACGCCGGAAGACCAAGGGUUCCUGUCCAACGUUAAUCGGGGCAGGGUGAGUCGACCCCUAAGGCGAGGCCGAAAGGCGUAGUCGAUGGGAAACAGGUUAAUAUUCCUGUACUCGGUGUUACUGCGAAGGGGGGACGGAGAAGGCUAUGUUGGCCGGGCGACGGUUGUCCCGGUUUAAGCAUGUAGGCGGAUGUUCCAGGUAAAUCCGGAACGUCACUAACGCUGAGGUGUGAUGACGAGGCACUACGGUGCUGAAGUGACAAAUGCCCUGCUUCCAGGAAAAGCCUCUAAGCAUCAGGUAACAUCAAAUCGUACCCCAAACCGACACAGGUGGUCAGGUAGAGAAUACCAAGGCGCUUGAGAGAACUCGGGUGAAGGAACUAGGCAAAAUGGUGCCGUAACUUCGGGAGAAGGCACGCUGAUGGUAGGUGAAGCGACUUGCUCGUGGAGCUGAAAUCAGUCGAAGAUACCAGCUGGCUGCAACUGUUUAUUAAAAACACAGCACUGUGCAAACACGAAAGUGGACGUAUACGGUGUGACGCCUGCCCGGUGCCGGAAGGUUAAUUGAUGGGGUUAUCCGUAAGGAGAAGCUCUUGAUCGAAGCCCCGGUAAACGGCGGCCGUAACUAUAACGGUCCUAAGGUAGCGAAAUUCCUUGUCGGGUAAGUUCCGACCUGCACGAAUGGCGUAAUGAUGGCCAGGCUGUCUCCACCCGAGACUCAGUGAAAUUGAACUCGCUGUGAAGAUGCAGUGUACCCGCGGCAAGACGGAAAGACCCCGUGAACCUUUACUAUAGCUUGACACUGAACACUGGUCCUUGAUGUGUAGGAUAGGUGGGAGGCUUUGAAGUGUGGACGCCAGUCUGCAUGGAGCCAUCCUUGAAAUACCACCCUUUAAUGGCUGGUGUUCUAACGUGGGCCCCUAAUCGGGGUUGCGGACAGUGUCUGGUGGGUAGUUUGACUGGGGCGGUCUCCUCCUAAAGAGUAACGGAGGAGCACGAAGGUCAGCUAAUCCUGGUCGGACAUCAGGAGGUUAGUGCAAUGGCAUAAGCUGGCUUGACUGCGAGCGUGACGGCGCGAGCAGGUGCGAAAGCAGGUCAUAGUGAUCCGGUGGUUCUGAAUGGAAGGGCCAUCGCUCAACGGAUAAAAGGUACUCCGGGGAUAACAGGCUGAUACCGCCCAAGAGUUCAUAUCGACGGCGGUGUUUGGCACCUCGAUGUCGGCUCAUCACAUCCUGGGGCUGAAGUAGGUCCCAAGGGUAUGGCUGUUCGCCAUUUAAAGUGGUACGCGAGCUGGGUUUAGAACGUCGUGAGACAGUUCGGUCCCUAUCUGCCGUGGGCGCUGGAGAAUUGAGGGGGGCUGCUCCUAGUACGAGAGGACCGGAGUGGACGCAUCACUGGUGUUCGGGUUGUCAUGCCAAUGGCAUUGCCCGGUAGCUAAAUGCGGAAGAGAUAAGUGCUGAAAGCAUCUAAGUACGAAACUUGCCCCGAGAUGAGUUCUCCCUGACUCCUUGAGAGUCCUGAAGGAACGUUGAAGACGACGACGUUGAUAGGCCGGGUGUGUAAGCGCAGCGAUGCGUUGAGCUAACCGGUACUAAUGAACCGUGAGGCUUAACCUUACAACGCCGAAG
rnacentral:rRNA from 1 species